rnacentral:misc_RNA from 1 species
UUGACGACACCCUGAACUUAUCACAUAAGCUCUCUUGGUCUCGUCUUAUUCCCAAUUUGUGAUAUUAAUACAUGUGCUGAUUGUUGUUUAUCCUAUGGUUCGUAAAUCACAGAGCUUGGAAAGAGGGAAUUGUGGAUCAAAAUAAGAACCAUUCAGAAUGGCCUGUGUUACAAUUUUAUUUACAGCCUCUGUAGCAUGUAUCCCAUCCCAACUAACGUAGUUCCCAGGAUCUGCACAAGCAGCUGCAGUGACGUUCCUGCCAUUUAUCACCUUGCUAUUUCCACAGUAAACUCGUUGGUCGUAGUUGUAAUCCCCACCGCCGAAUCCACAACAAGCUUUAGUUCCAUAGCGAAGCCCGUGCUCUUUUGGGUGACGAAACAGGUCGAGCAUCACGGAAUGAGUAUCGACAUACACGAUGGAAGCAUCAAGAAUCUGUUCUCGAGUUAGACGGAGUUUCUCCUUCAACAAACUGUUGUAGUAAUCCACAGCAUUAUUGUAUGAAAUCAUGCAGCCGUACAUGUCGAUGUCGGAGUCGUCGUGUGG